rnacentral:rRNA from 1 species
GACGAACGCUGGCGGCGUGCUUAACACAUGCAAGUCGAGCGGAGCGGCGAACGGGUGAGUAACGCGUGAGUAACUGCCCCCCUCCCUGGGAUAACAGUUGGAAACGGCUGCUAAUACCGGAUAGUGGGGGAUGACUCGCGUUCAAUCAGCUUGUUGGUGGGGUAGUGGCCUACCAAGGCGACGACGGGUAGCCGGCCUGCGAGGGCGACCGGCCACAAUGGGCUGCGAUACGGACCAAACUCCUACGGGAGGCAGUAGUGGGGAAUAAUGCACAAGGGGGUAAACACUGACGCAUCAACGCCGCGUGCGGGAUGACGGCAUUCGGGUUGUAAACCGCUUUCAGCCAUGACGAGGUAGUGGCAGAAGAAGCACCGGCUAACUACGUGCCAGAAGCCGCGGUAAUUC